rnacentral:rRNA from 1 species
AAUCAAGUGCCUUAAGGGUGUUCGGUGGAUGCCUUGGCGCUGAGAGGCGAUGAAGGACGUGCUACGCUGCGAUAAGCCGUGGGGAGCUGCGAAGAAGCUUUGAUCCGCGGAUUUCCGAAUGGGGAAACCCACCUUCGAUAGCCGGAACUCCAAGACCUUGGUUUUGGGGUUCGAUUGGGAGACCGAGAGAAUUCAAGGCCGUGAGGUUUUGGAUUUCCGGUUAUCAAGAGAAGGUAUGAGACUUCUGAAUACAUAGGAGGUUUCAAGCGAACCCAGGGAACUGAAACAUCUAAGUACCUGGAGGAAAGGACAUCAACCGAGACUCCGCUAGUAGUGGCGAGCGAACGCGGACCAGGCCAGUCAUGAAUGCAAGCCAACCAGAACCUGUCAGGAAAGCAGGGCCUCAGAGGGUGAUAGCCCCGUAUGGGUAAUGCAAGCAUUCAUGCUCGAGUACGGCGG